rnacentral:rRNA from 1 species
UACGGAGGGUGCGAGCGUUGUCCGGAAUCACUGGGCGUAAAGGGCGCGUAGGCGGUCUGCUAAGCGUGCGGUGAAAGCCUGGGGCUCAACCCCAGGUCUGCCGUGCGAACUGGUGGACUAGAGCACUGUAGAGGCAGGUGGAAUUCCGGGUGUAGCGGUGGAAUGCGUAGAGAUCCGGAAGAACACCGGUGGCGAAGGCGGCCUGCUGGGCAGUUGCUGACGCUGAGGCGCGACAGCGUGGGGGAGCAAACAGG